AGUCGAGCGGACCGACGGGAGCUUGCUCCCUUAGGUCAGCGGCGGACGGGUGAGUAACACGUGGGUAACCUGCCUGUAAGACUGGGAUAACUCCGGGAAACCGGGGCUAAUACCGGAUGCUUGAUUGAACCGCAUGGUUCAAUCAUAAAAGGUGGCUUUUAGCUACCACUUACAGAUGGACCCGCGGCGCAAUAGCUAGUUGGUGAGGUAACGGCUCACCAAGGCGACGAUGCGUAGCCGACCUGAGAGGGUGAUCGGCCACACUGGGACUGAGACACGGCCCAGACUCCUACGGGAGGCAGCAGUAGGGAAUCUUCCGCAAUGGACGAAAGUCUGACGGAGCAACGCCGCGUGAGUGAUGAAGGUUUUCGGAUCGUAAAACUCUGUUGUUAGGGAAGAACAAGUACCGUUCGAAUAGGGCGGUACCUUGACGGUACCUAACCAGAAAGCCACGGCUAACUACGUGCCAGCAGCCGCGGUAAUACGUAGGUGGCAAGCGUUGUCCGGAAUUAUUGGGCGUAAAGCGCGCGCAGGCGGUUUCUUAAGUCUGAUGUGAAAGCCCCCGGCUCAACCGGGGAGGGUCAUUGGAAACUGGGGAACUUGAGUGCAGAAGAAGAGAGUGGAAUUCCACGUGUAGCGGUGAAAUGCGUAAAGAUGUGGAGGAACACCAGUGGCGAAGGCGACUCUCUGGUCUGUAACUGACGCUGAAGCGCGAAAGCGUGGGGAGCGAACAGGAUUAGAUACCCUGGUAGUCCACGCCGUAAACGAUGAGUGCUAAGUGUUAGAGGGUUUCCGCCCUUUAGUGCUGCAGCAAACGCAUUAAGCACUCCGCCUGGGGAGUACGGUCGCAAGACUGAAACUCAAAGGAAUUGACGGGGGCCCGCACAAGCGGUGGAGCAUGUGGUUUAAUUCGAAGCAACGCGAAGAACCUUACCAGGUCUUGACAUCCUCUGACAACCCUAGAGAUAGGGCUUCCCCUUCGGGGGCAGAGUGACAGGUGGUGCAUGGUUGUCGUCAGCUCGUGUCCUGAGAUGUUGGGUUAAGUCCCGCAACGAGCGCAACCCUUGAUCUUAGUUGCCAGCAUUCAGUUGGGCACUCUAAGGUGACUGCCGGUGACAA
rnacentral:rRNA from 1 species